rnacentral:rRNA from 1 species
CCUACGGGAGGCAGCAGUGGGGAAUAUUGGACAAUGGGGGCAACCCUGAUCCAGCCAUGCCGCGUGUGUGAAGAAGGCCCUCGGGUUGUAAAGCACUUUCAGUGAGGAAGAACGCCUGGUGGUUAAUACCCAUCAGGAAAGACAUCACUCACAGAAGAAGCACCGGCUAACUCCGUGCCAGCAGCCGCGGUAAUACGGAGGGUGCGAGCGUUAAUCGGAAUUACUGGGCGUAAAGCGCGCGUAGGUGGCUUGGUAAGCCGGUUGUGAAAGCCCCGGGCUCAACCUGGGAACGGCAUCCGGAACUGUCAAGCUAGAGUGCAGGAGAGGAAGGUAGAAUUCCCGGUGUAGCGGUGAAAUGCGUAGAGAUCGGGAGGAAUACCAGUGGCGAAGGCGGCCUUCUGGACUGACACUGACACUGAGGUGCGAAAGCGUGGGUAGCAAACAGGAUUAGAUACCCGGGUAGUC